AAAGUAUGGUGAGGGUAUUUCCUAAGUAUUUGCUUAAAUCUCUCCCAACUCUCAUAAAUCAAUUCUCCUUCAAAUUGGGUAAAACAAGUUAUAUCAUUUCUAAGUUU